rnacentral:rRNA from 1 species
GACGAACGCUGGCGGCGUGCCUAAUACAUGCAAGUAGAACGCUGAAGGAGGAGCUUGCUUCUCCGGAUGAGUUGCGAACGGGUGAGUAACGCGUAGGUAACCUGCCUGGUAGCGGGGGAUAACUAUUGGAAACGAUAGCUAAUACCGCAUAACAGUAGAUGUUGCAUGACAUUUGCUUAAAAGGUGCAAUUGCAUCACUACCAGAUGGACCUGCGUUGUAUUAGCUAGUUGGUGAGGUAACGGCUCACCAAGGCGACGAUACAUAGCCGACCUGAGAGGGUGAGCGGCCACACUGGGACUGAGACACGGCCCAGACUCCUACGGGAGGCAGCAGUAGGGAAUCUUCGGCAAUGGACGGAAGUCUGACCGAGCAACGCCGCGUGAGUGAAGAAGGUUUUCGGAUCGUAAAGCUCUGUUGUAAGAGAAGAACGAGUGUGAGAGUGGAAAGUUCACACUGUGACGGUAUCUUACCAGAAAGGGACGGCUAACUACGUG